rnacentral:sRNA from 1 species
UCACGGACCUAGAGGCCCAGCCCUACGAGGUGGGGUGGAGGGACAGGAGGAGGCUUGUAGAGGAGGGCUUGUAGAGGAGGGGAGAUGUUGGGGGCGCCCUGACUCCCCCUGCCACGCCCCUUCCAGGCCGUGUUCCUCCGGGCUGUGAAGCUCUACAACAGCGGGGAUUUCCGCAGCAGCACGGAGGACAUGGAGCGGGCCUUGGCAGAGUACCUGGCAGUCUUUGCCCGGUGCCUGGCCGGCUGUGAAGGGGCCCAUGAGCAGGUGGACUUCAAGGACUUCUACCCGGCCAUAGCAGGUAUCCGUCACCCAGACCCCGGUGGGCAGUCCUCUCACCCACAGGCCCAGUAAGGCAGAUGUUCCCUCCCUGCACGUGGAGCACUGCGAAUGUGGAGGAGCCAGCCGGGAGGAAGGCCUUGUCUGUUGAGAAUGACGCUGGGUGCAAGGGCCCCAGCUGGGAGUGUCCAAGAGGCUGGAUCAGAGGCCAUGCUCUACCACAACCAGACCGCCGAGCUGCGGGAGCUGCUGGAGUUCA